rnacentral:tmRNA from 1 species
CACAUUUCAAACCCUUCGGCGUCCGCAUAGCGCCGUUGGCAGAUGAGCGUAAUUCGGACAGAUCGGAAAGCAGUCGGACGCGGGGACAGUGCCCGCCGGCUCCACCAAUUCAACCAUUCGCUCUGAUCGAAAGGUUGCUGCGGGGCCGAACCAGGAUCGACGCCUGCGGGAAGAGAUGAACGCGCUCGGGCAUGGUACCACCCUCAUCGGGCCGACCAAGGAACUGUCAACGACAACGUUCCCUCUGAGGCUCGUCGCAUCGCGGCGUAAACCUCAUGGGCUAGCCCGGCGGCCUCGAAACAGAAGGCCGGGCG